UGUUACAUAGUUGUUGUGGUAACAUAAGGUGGAGUUACUAUCUACCUAUAAAAACCUUCAAGGUAAAGUUCAGCAGCUGAUUCUUGGCAACUGCACACAAGGGUCAAAUUCAUACCUGGGUUCUGUGGGCAAUUUCUAACAGAAAUUAGACCCAUCAGUUGUGAGUGGAAAAAGAAGAUACAAGAUGGUAUGAGUUAUUACUAAUGCCUGCCGAUAUGUGGCACGGAAGAUCUCUGCCCUUUGUGGCAGGAAGGAGGAAGAUCGAACGGUAUCUGUAUCAACUCCGGCUGCAGUCAGUCAGGCAAAGUAUCCGAAUGUAGAUCAUGGAAAAAUGCAAAUGCCAAUCCACAAAGAAAUGCCACGUUCUCGGCCUUUCAAUCAGCAAUGUGGCCCCUGAGGGUAAAGAAUGGCUCCUGUAAAGGGGCCUCAGCCACUUCAGUGUAUUUUGGAAAUGUGGCUAAUUUUCCAACAACAAACUGAAAGAGAAACUGUUGUUCUUGUACAGUGAUUGAUGAAGGCUUGUUCACAACCUCUCAUUGUAGAAAUGAACUUGUCUGAAGAUAUUUUACUUGUACCUCUAAAACAGCAGAAUUUAGAAAUGUCUACAUUGAUGCUAAUUUUCUGUUACCAGCUUAGUGUGAAAGCAUAAUGCCCUUAAUUAAAGAUUUGGUUUAUUUUCAAUCUCAUUGCUGGUAACAGUAGCACCAUUUCAACUCAGUUUAAAAUUAAUUCACAAGCCCUGCUACUCAUAGAUCAUACUUGCUUUAUUCAAUCUCCACUUUCCCUUCUGAUUUUCUUUGGUUGAAGUAAUGCUGACAUUUGAAAUCAGAAAAUUGACGUUUUAAAAACCACACCUACCAAAAUCUCCUCUAUAAAAUACAGUAGAGGUUUAAUGGGUUCCUUAGUAGUUAGUUGUAGAAACACUUCAAGCAAAUAUUUCUGUCACUAACCUGACUUGUUUUCUUGUCCUAUUAUAGCUUUCCUGGUUAAAGUCUAACCGUUAAAAUCAAGGUUCAUGUUUAAAACCACGAAUACAUUCUGGUCACCUACCCUGAACAGCAAUCUGUAUUUGAUUUGAUACUUUCCCCAAACUAAUAUAAAUAUCAGCUAUCACUACUACCUCAAAAAGCAGAAACAUUUCAAAAUACAGACUUCAAAUCCUUCUCUAUGCCCAAUGGCCAAAGUAAAUUACUACAUUUAGAAAGUUAUAAACAACAAAUGAAAAUCAUUGAAAAUGAAUUUUCUUGAUCUGAUCCAUCCAAGUUGACUUUGGCUUUUUGUAGAUGAUUACGGCAGAUAUUCAGCAAGAUAAGCACACUCCUUUAGCAAAUUAAAAUAUUCAUAUCAUAAUGAAAUAAGUUUAUGAAGAGGGUUCCAUGAUGCCCUAUAGAGUUGUGUUAAUUUGACAUUCUUGUAAUCCUAUUCCCAAAGUUAUGAACACUAACAGAUUCUGGUGGAAUUAAAUCUGUUAUGCUUACAAUGCUGAAUAUUGUACAAGACUGAAUGUUUGCUUGACAAAUUCUGUCAAAUAUUGAAUCCACUCUUUUGCUGCUAACCAUUGUAAUUCUAAUAUGUUUUGUUGCUUUCCAUCUUAAAUAUUUGCCAGCUCAAUGUGUAACAAAUGUAAUAACCAAAAACCAUACAAAUGAAAAUAAAAUGUGUUUCAAACCCUUGAA